GACGAACGCUGGCGGCGUGCUUAACACAUGCAAGUCGACAUGCGUGGCUAACUGGUGAGUAAUACGUGUGUAACCUGCCCUCCUUUUUGGGAUAAGCCUUGGAAACGAGGUCUAAUACCCAAUAUGGCGUUUUGGGCUGGGGGCCUGUCAGGUUGUUGGUGGGGUGAUGGCCUACCCAGGCGGUGACGGGGAGCCGGCCUGAGAGGGUGAGGGGCGAGAUGGGGAUUGAGAGACGGCGCAGACUCAUACGGGAGGCAGCAGUGGGGGAGAUUGCACAAUGGGCGAAAGCCUGAUGCAGCGACGCCGGAUGGGGGAUGAAGGCGUUCGGGUUGUAAACCUCUGUAGCUAACGAACGGGUAGGUGGAGAAGAAGCGCCGGCUAACUACGUGCCAGCAGCCGCGGUAAUAC
rnacentral:rRNA from 1 species